UUAACUUUGCCUUUGUUCAGAGCACAUAGCACAAAGCGUCACGGUUUGGUUUAUGGUCUUCAUUUGUCGGAGUCAUUUUGAAUAAAGAAAAAAAUGUAUGCUUACCAUGCUGCACCUUGGUCCAGUCCUUCAGCCAGCAGUUUUUGAUGUCCCAUUGGUCCUGACCAGGCAUCCAGCUUUAUUCUCUAUACUUCCUCUUGCAAAUAACGGGGAUAUCGGCCCUUAGGGUUGUUUGGAGAAUGUCUUGUGCGUCCUCCUUGUUGGAGAAAAAAUCUUUGUCUAAUCCAAGUAUGAAUACAACUGCUCUGCUCCCCUCAAUGCUCUGAAGAAGAAGGAUGUGUCUUGGGCUUUUGAAGACUUGAAAGAGGCCCUAACCAAAGCACCAAUGGUACUCUCCCAUGGCUUCUGCCUGCCCAAAGUACAAACAGAUGCCAGUGACAUCGGACCUGGUGCUGUUUUGACAAGAGAUUGAUGGCAAUGAGUGAGUUAUCGCCUAUGGAUCAAGACUGUUGAACUCUACCGAGAAUAAUUACUCUUGUCUCUGAGCGAGAGUGCCUAGCAGUCAUUUGGGCGGUGGAAAAGUGGCAGUCUUUUCAUGAAGGGAGGAAAUUCGAGGUCAUUACUGACUACUCAGCCCUGGCCUGGGUGUUCCACCAUCCAAAGCCCAGUUCAAGACUGAUAGAUGGAUGAUAAUACUACAUUUUGACUUCCAUGUCACCUACAGAAAAGGACAGUGCAACAUUGUUCCGGAUACUCUCUCCUGCACCCCGGUUUGGGAGGCAGAAGCAUGCUGGGACUGGAUAUCAUGGGCCCUUGACUAUUGUAGCAAAUGGGUUGAAUUGUUCCCCAUGCGAGAGGCGAAGACCUCGAAGAUAGCCUCCAUUCUCACUGAUGAAAUAUUCACCAGAUGGGGAACGCCAGCAUAUCUCGUCUCGGACAGAGGAGCACAGUUCACCUCCAUUCUUCUCAAACAGGUUUGCCAGCAAUGGGGUGUUGUCCAAAAGCUCACUACACUGUACCAUCCACAAACAAAUCUGUCAGAACGCAUCAAUCGCACAUUGAAGACCAUGAUCACAACCUUCGUGAAGGACAAGCACAACACUUGGGACAGCUGGUUGCCUGAGUUCCGCUUCUCCAUCAACACUGCCUGGCAGGAGUCAACAGGUUUCACACCUGCAGAAAUUGCUCUCGGGCCGAAGCUGAAAGGUCCGCAUGAAAGGCUCAUCAGCAAGUCACCUGAUCCUGACCAGAAUGCCUACUCACUGCUCGAGAGGCAACAGCUCAUGCUGAAAUAGGUUAAACGCAAUGUCUCUAAAUGUCUCCAUAAAUUGUGAAGC